rnacentral:rRNA from 1 species
ACGGGGUGCAGCAGGCGCGAAAACUUCACACUGCAGGAAACUGUGAUGAGGGAACUCCAAGUGUGUGCGUUUUACGUACACUUUUCUGAACUCUUAAUCGGUUCAGGAAUAAGGGCUGGGAAAGACCGGUGCCAGCCGCCGCGGUAAUACCGGCAGCUCAAGUGGUCGUCGCUUUUAUUGGGCCUAAAACGUCCGUAGCCUGUUUGGUAAAUCUGUGGGUAAAUCAACCCGCUUAACGGGUUGAAUUCUGCAGAGACUGCCAGACUAGGGACCGGGAGAGGUGUGGGGUACUCGAGGGGUAGGGGUAAAAUCCUGUCAUCCUUCGAGGACCACCAGUUGCGAAGGCGCCACACUGGAACGGAUUCGACGGUCAGGGACGAAGCCUAGGGGCACGAACCGGAUUAGAUACCCGGGUAGUCCUAGGUGUAAACGCUGUGAACUUGGUGUCGGGGAUCCGUAAGGGGUCCCCGGUGCCGGAGUGAAGAUGUUAAGUUCACUGCCUGGGGAGUACGGUCGCAAGGCUGAAACUUAA